UACGUAGGGUGCAAGCGUUAAUCGGAAUUACUGGGCGGAAAGCGUGCGCAGGCGGUUUUGUAAGUCUGUCGUGAAAUCCCCGGGCUCAACCUGGGAAUUGCGAUGGAGACUGCAAGGCUAGAAUCUGGCAGAGGGGGGUAGAAUUCCACGUGUAGCAGUGAAAUGCGUAGAGAUGUGGAGGAACACCGAUGGCGAAGGCAGCCCCCUGGGUCAAGAUUGACGCUCAUGCACGAAAGCGUGGGGAGCAAACAGG
rnacentral:rRNA from 1 species